rnacentral:misc_RNA from 1 species
UUUCCGUAGGUGAACCUGCGGAAGGAUUAUUAAAGAAUUUGCCCCGUCCUCUCGAGGAUGGGUCCUCUUCUAAACCGUGUAUACAUACCUUUGUUGCUUUGGCGGGCCGCCGUCUCGGCGUUGGCUUCGGCUGACUGUGCCCGCCAGAGAACCCCAACUCUUCUGUUUAGUAUUGUCUGAGUACUAUAUAAUAGUUAAAACUUUCAACAACGGAUCUCUUGGUUCUG